AAGUAUAUAUCAAUACAAUACAUCAAACAGCUCACAAGCUUCCGCAAACCAACAACAUAGGCCAGCAUGGCCAUAACGUAGCUAUAAACCCCACACACUAGUCUGCAAGCCUCUAAGAGUAGUAAAGAUUGGUGGGACAGGGCCCCAGCCUACCCAUAAAGAUAUAUACAACAAAAGUUAACAAACCUCCCAACUCUGGCAGCUCCGGAGGAAAGGGGCUAGCCAACUAGAUAAAAGUCAAUCCUGCUGCUGAGGAGGUCUACUCAGUCGUCUGUCAGGACCUGCAUGCGUGAAUGCAGCGCCCCCAGGCAAUGGGGCGUCAGUACAAAAUAAUGUACAGAGUAUGAAAGGCAAUAGACUAUGAUGAGGUAUCCUGAUAUACUGGAAUAAUCUGAUAAAUAAAUCAAGGAUAAGAUAACUGUACUGACCUGCUCCUAAAUCUAAACGUAUCAAAAAUAAUAAAACAACAACCUAACAGAGCCCCCAUAAGCUCUGCAGGUACAAACAGCACACAAGACCACCUACUCAGGCCCCCAUAAGCCCGGAAGGUGCCAAUCAGUCUAUAUACCCCUAUCGAUAGUCCCUUAGCCCUGUAGGCAAUCACAUAGCCCUCUUAGGCAUUAAUAUAGCCCCAUAACAGCACAUAGUUCUCUUAGGUAUCAACAUAGCUUAUAGACAACUCAUAGCCCUCUUAGGCAACAACAUAGCCAUGUAGGAAGCCCAUAGCCUUCUUAGGCGUCAAUAUAGCCCUAUAGGUAACUCAUAGCCCUUCUAGGCAUCAAUAUAGCCCCGUAGGCAACAUAUAGCCCUUUUAGUUAUCCAUUUAGCCCCGUAGGUUGAACAUAGCCCUUCUAGGCAUAAAUCACAUUCCUGCAGCUAACCAGAAUAGCCCUAAUGGCAAUAAUAACAAUCAAAUCGUUAAAAGCGAGCAAUCUAAGCAACCUGUACAAAUAGCCUCUAAGUCGUUUCCAACAUAGGGACGCUACAAACUGAAUAAGAAUCCCGACAAGGGAGGAUUAUAUCAACCUGAGCAACCAAUAAUCAACAAUAACGGCUACAAGUAUAUCAAGUAUAUUAAGGAACAUGUCGUAAGUAGGGAAUAGCCUUAACAUACCUUUUUCGCUAAAUUCAUGUGGCUUAAAGACUUUAACUCAUAACUCCCUCGAUACU
rnacentral:lncRNA from 1 species